rnacentral:sRNA from 1 species
AAGAAAGUGACUGCCGCCCCGCACAGGGGCAACGCUAAUAGACCGACACGAAAAACGGGAUCCGGCGAAAACCCCACCAAAAACUCACUUCGCGCCAGCAUUCAACUC